AGCGGAGGAAAAGAAACUAACAAGGAUUCCCCUAGUAAUGGCGAAUGAAGCGGGAACAGCUCAAAUUUGAAAUCUCCGUUGCCUGCAACGGCGAAUUGUAGUUUCGAGAAGCACUUUCUCGACGGAGCCGGGGCCGUCCAAGUUGCUUGGAACAGCACGUCAUAGAGGGUGACAACCCCGUCUGUGGCGGAACCGGGCCGUUCACGAUGUGCUUUCGACGAGUCGGGUUGUUUGGGAAUGCAGCCCAAAAUGGGUGGUAAACUCCAUCUAAAGCUAAAUAUUGGCACGAGACCGAUAGCGAACAAGUACCGUGAGGGAAAGGUGAAAAGCACUUUGAAAAGAGAGUUAAAAAGUACGUGAAACCGUUAAAAGGGAAACGAAUGGGGUUAGCAAUGCGCUCUGCGAGAUUCAGCCGGGCCGGCGCGGCGGGCGUGCGGCGUGCGGAUCCUUGACGGACCGCCGCCGCACGGUUCGCCGCCUCGACCGUCGCACUUCUCGCGAGUGCGCGCCAACAUCGGUUGGGAGUGGGUCUCAAAGGCGUCGGUAAGGUGGGCUYUGCUCCCUCGGGAACGGAGUUGUUAUAGACCGGCGUCGCAUCGGCCCGCGCCCGACCGAGGAGCCGCGGCGCAUGCCUUUUCACAGGGCUAGGGUCCCGUCGUUCCGGUCGGUCGUCGACUGCGGUGGACUGCGUGCAGUGCGCCGCGACCGCUGCCGGUCGCCUUCGGCGGUGACUCCGUACCAUGCGCCCAGGAUGUUGGCGGUCACAUGGCCUCAUCCGACCCGUCUUGAAACACGGACCAAGGAGUCUAACAUGUGCGCGAGUCUUGGAGUGAUCGAAACUCCCAGGCGCAAUGAAAGUGAAGGCGGCGCUCGCGCCGCCGAGGUGAGAACCCCUUCCUCCCGGGUGGGGGCGCAUCAUCGACCGACCUAUUCUACUCUUAGGAAGGUUUGAGUAAGAGC
rnacentral:rRNA from 1 species